rnacentral:rRNA from 1 species
AAUAGAUACCCAGGUAGCCCACGCCGUAAACGAUGAGUGCUAAGUGUUAGAGGGUUUCCGCCCUUUAGUGCUGUAGCUAACGCAUUAAGCACUCCGCCUGGGGAGUACGGCCGCAAGGCUGAAACUCAAAGGAAUUGACGGGGGCCCGCACAAGCGGUGGAGCAUGUGGUUUAAUUCGAAGCAACGCGAAGAACCUUACCAGGUCUUGACAUCCUCUGACAACCCUAGAGAUAGGGCUUUCCCCUUCGGGGGACAGAGUGAUAGGUGGUGCAUGGUUGUCGUCAGCUCGUGUCGUGAGAUGUUGGGUUAAGUCCCGCAACGAGCGCAACCCUUGAUCUUAGUUGCCAGCAUUCAGUUGGGCACUCUAAGGUGACUGCCGGUGACAAACCGGAGGAAGGUGGGGAUGACGUCAAAUCAUCAUGCCCCUUAUGACCUGGGCUACACACGUGCUACAAUGGAUGGUACAAAGGGCUGCAAACCUGCGAAGGUAAGCGAAUCCCAUAAAGCCAUUCUCAGUUCGGAUUGCAGG